GAUGAACGCUGGCGGCGUGCCUAAUACAUGCAAGUCGAGCGAACAGACGAGUAGCUUGCUCCUUUGACGUUAGCGGCGGACGGGUGAGUAACACGUAGGUAACCUACCUAUAAGACUGGGAUAACUUCGGGAAACCGGAGCUAAUACCGGAUAAUAUUUCGAACCGCAUGGUUCGAUAGUGAAAGAUGGCUUUGCUAUCACUUAUAGAUGGACCUGCGCCGUAUUAGCUAGUUGGUAAGGUAACGGCUUACCAAGGCAACGAUACGUAGCCGACCUGAGAGGGUGAUCGGCCACACUGGAACUGAGACACGGUCCAGACUCCUACGGGAGGCAGCAGUAGGGAAUCUUCCGCAAUGGGCGAAAGCCUGACGGAGCAACGCCGCGUGAGUGAUGAAGGUCUUCGGAUCGUAAAACUCUGUUAUUAGGGAAGAACAAACGUGUAAGUAACUGUGCACGACUUGACGGUACCUAAUCAGAAAGCCACGGCUAACUACGUG
rnacentral:rRNA from 1 species